AUUGGACGCUGGCGGCAUGCUUUACACAUGCAAGUCGAACGGUAACAGGCCUUCGGGUGUUGACGAGUGGCGAACGGGUGAGUAAUGCAUCGGAACGUGCCCAGAGGUGGGGGAUAACGCAGCGAAAGCUGUGCUAAUACCGCAUGUGAUCUGAGGAUGAAAGCGGGGGACCAAGCAGCAAUGUUUGGCCUCGCGCCUCUGGAGCGGCCGAUGUCAGAUUAGGUAGUUGGUGGGGUAAAGGCCUACCAAGCCGACGAUCUGUAGCUGGUCUGAGAGGACGACCAGCCACACUGGGACUGAGACACGGCCCAGACUCCUACGGGAGGCAGCAGUGGGGAAUUUUGGACAAUGGGCGCAAGCCUGAUCCAGCAAUGCCGCGUGCGGGAAGAAGGCCUUCGGGUUGUAAACCGCUUUUGUACGGAACGAAAAGGCUCUGGCUAAUACCUGGGGCUGAUGACGGUACCGUAAGAAUAAGCACCGGCUAACUACGUG
rnacentral:rRNA from 1 species